GUUCGUCCCAAUCCCGCAGCGCCGCACUCAGCCCGACCUUCUCGCUCGUGUCUGGCGCACUCAGCCACAGCUAGCCUACCACCCGACCACAGCCGCCGGCCUGCUCCCAACCCCAAGUCCAGGAUCCAUCUCCGGAUCCAUCUCGGCCUCAUCGCGUGUAGGCUCUCCCCCUCCUCCGCACUCCGUCCGUCUCUCAUCACCAUUCCGCCGCCGCCCCACCUCUCGCCGCCGCCUCCGAACCCGCCACGGCGCGGCGGAGAUCCAACCGGACGGAUCUGGAUCGACCUACUCCGACACCGCUUUGGGAAGAUAGAUAGAUAACAAGGCUGCUGUGCUUGCUGUCUGUUGGGAAGUGGAGGAAGCUCAAUAAGUUGAUAUCCGCCUCGAGCUCGAGGGAACCGGUGGGCAGGAUGUGGCCUACAUUGCUGGAUCUGCUGCUACAUUGGUGGUGCCACUGAUCUGGUACCUUGGUGAUGAAAAAAAUCUAUGCUGGUAGUAGCUAGGUAGGGU